rnacentral:sRNA from 1 species
AUUUCGUGGACGCCGGGUGAGCGAUAGCGUUGGUUGGUGUUGGGCUGGAGGAAAGCGGGAAGACUCAUCAGAGCGUGUGGAUUUGAGCCGCCGCAUUUUUUAACCCUAGAUCUCGAAAUGCAUCGUGAUUCCUGUCCAUUGGACUGUAAGGUUUAUGUAGGCAAUCUUGGAAACAAUGGCAACAAGACCGAAUUGGAACGGGCUUUUGGCUACUAUGGACCACUCCGAAGUGUGUGGGUUGCUAGAAACCCACCCGGCUUUGCUUUUGUUGAAUUUGAAGAUCCCCGAGAUGCAGCUGAUGCAGUCCGAGAGCUAGAUGGAAGGUGAUUUAAUGAUUACACUGAUACAAAUGUGUUGCUUGUGGCUCUUAGAUGGCUUUCCCAAUCACUGGCCAAUUGUAUCUUUAGAUACAAUUGGGAUUUUUUUUUUUUUUUUGGGAGACGAGUCUUGCACUGUCACUGGGCUGGAGUGCAGUGGUACGAUCUCGGCUCCCCGCAACCA